rnacentral:rRNA from 1 species
GACGAACGCUGGCGGCGUGCCUAAUACAUGCGAGUAGAACGCUGAAGGAGGAGCUUGCUUCUCUGGAUGAGUUGCGAACGGGUGAGUAACGCGUAGGUAACCUGCCUGGUAGCGGGGGAUAACUAUUGGAAACGAUAGCUAAUACCGCAUAAUAGUAGAUGUUGCAUGACAUUUGCUUAAAAAGUGCAAUUGCAUCGCUACUAGAUGGACCUGCGUUGUAUUAUCUGGUUGGUGGGGUAACGGCUCACCAAGGCGACGAAACAUAGCCGGCCUGAGAGGGUGGACGGCCACACUGGGACUGAGACACCGCCCAGACUCCCACGGGAGGCAACAGUAGGGAAUCUUCGGCAAUGGGCGGAAGGCUGACCGGGCAACGCCGCGUGAGUGAAGGAGGUUUUCGGAUCGUAAAGCUCUGGUGUAAGGGAAGAACGAGUGUGGGAGUGGAAAGUUCACACUGUGACGGUACCUUACCAGAAAGCGACGGCUAACUACGUG